GAGUUGGGCGCCAUGGCUGCCUUCUGGGCAGAGUGCAGGGCCUGCCUUAAAUGUUGUGGGGGUUCUGUUCUCAACAAAGGCGUAAGUUGGGAGCGACUGAGCCACUCCAGGAGGAGGUGUGGGCCCACGGCGUGUUGGAGGUGGAGCCACAGGACCUGUCCAUAGGAGGAUGGAAAACCCAAGCAGCAGCUGCACCAGGACCGAGGCAAAGGGACCGCAGUUUAACAGAAAACCCAAAACGAGAGCGAGAAAACGGCCAAACACCCGUGCGAGGAGGAAACCCAAGCUCCGCCGAGCGCGGCGGGUCUGUGCCUUCGCUUCGCUUCCAGCCUCUCGCUUCCUUCUGACCCGACCCCGAGUUCUUUCUCCGGACGGUGUCGAGAACCCGGGCGCCGGCUGGGGCUGGAGUCUCGCUGGCCUCGGAG
rnacentral:lncRNA from 10 species